AGUUAUAUAAUAUAAUAGUAAUAUAUAUAUAUAUUAUAGCUUUAUCUAUUUAUUACCUUUGAAUAUAGAUAUAUUAAGCUAUCUAUAUAAGGUUAUAGGUUUAAUUCCUAUUAUAAUUA